rnacentral:rRNA from 1 species
AUUGAACGCUGGCGGCAUGCCUUACACAUGCAAGUCGAACGGCAGCACGGGAGCAAUCCUGGUGGCGAGUGGCGAACGGGUGAGUAAAGUAUCGGAACGUGCCCAGUCGUGGGGGAUAACGUAGCGAAAGUUACGCUAAUACCGCAUACGAUCUAUGGAUGAAAGCGGGGGAUCGCAAGACCUCGCGCGAUUGGAGCGGCCGAUAUCAGAUUAGGUAGUUGGUGGGGUAAAGGCUCACCAAGCUGACGAUCUGUAGCUGGUCUGAGAGGACGACCAGCCACACUGGGACUGAGACACGGCCCAGACUCCUACGGGAGGCAGCAGUGGGGAAUUUUGGACAAUGGGCGAAAGCCUGAUCCAGCCAUGCCGCGUGCAGGAUGAAGGCCUUCGGGUUGUAAACUGCUUUUGUACGGAACGAAAAGGUUUGGCCUAAUAAGCUGAGCUCAUGACGGUACCGUAAGAAUAAGCACCGGCUAACUACGUGCCAGCCGCCGCGGUAAAAC